UUCCAUAAGAAAGUUUGGUCUAGAAGGAAUGAUUUUUCCUAUAAGAAAAAGACUUCGGCUCGGUGUGGUGGCUCACAUCUGUAAUCCCAGGAUUUGGGGAGGCUGAGGCAGGCUUAUCGCUUGAAACCAGGAAUAUGAAAUCUUCAGGCCAAACGAGACCCCUGUCUCUACAAAAAAUUUAAAAAUUAGCGGAGCACGCUGGUGUGUGCCUUGUAGUCCCAGCUAUUCAAGGAGGCUGGAAAAAACCUUGGUGCAGAGGAACAAAUCCACAGAGACCCUCGUUUGUACAGACUUGGGCUGGACCACUUCCCCCACGCUCUUACCUCCAGUGGAUGGAGUGUUGGCUACUUGGCCAUGCCUGCAACUCCUCUCUCCCCUGCAUGGCCUCUUGGGGAGCUGGGUGAGGGGGAUGAGUUUGGAAAAUAUCUCACCAAGGCCAGGUGUGGUGGCUCAUGCCUAUAAUCCCAGCAUUUUGGGAGGCCGAGGCAGGCGGAUUACUUGAGGCCAGGAGUUCGAGACCAGCCUGAUCAACAUGGUGAAACCCUGUCCCUACUGAAAAUACAAAAAUUAGCCAGGCAUGGUGGUGUGUGCCUAUAAUUUCAGCUACUCUGGAGGCUGAGGCGGGAGAAUCACUUGAACCGGGGAGGCAGA
rnacentral:lncRNA from 1 species